AGCGAACGCUGGCGGCAGGCUUAACACAUGCAAGUCGAGCGGGCACCUUUCGGGGUGUCAGCGGCGGACGGGUGAGUAACGCGUGGGAACGUGCCCUCUGGUUCGGCAUAACUCAGGGAAACUUGAGCUAAUACCGGAUACGCCCUUUUGGGGAAAGGCUUGCUGCCGGAGGAUCGGCCCGCGUCUGCUUAGCUAGUUGGUGAGGUAACGGCUCACCAAGGCGACGAUCAGUAGCUGGUCUGAGAGGAUGAUCAGCCACACUGGGACUGAGACACGGCCCAGACUCCUACGGGAGGCAGCAGUGGGGAAUAGUGGACAAGGGGCGCAAGCCUGAUCCAGCCAUGCCGCGUGAGUGAUGAAGGCCUUAGGGUUGUAAAGCUCUUUUAUCCGGGACGAUAAUGACGGUACCGGAGGAAUAAGCCCCGGCUAACUUCGUG
rnacentral:rRNA from 1 species